rnacentral:rRNA from 1 species
UACGUAGGGUGCGAGCGUUAAUCGGAAUUACUGGGCGUAAAGUGUGCGCAGGCGGCCGAGCAAGUCGAGUGUGAAAGCCCCGAGCUUAACUUGGGAACUGCGCUCGAAACUACUUGGCUAGAGUGUGGCAGAGGGAGGUGGAAUUCACGUGUAGCGGUGAAAUGCGUAGAGAUGUGGAGGAACACCGAUGGCGAAGGCAGCCUCCUGGGCCAACACUGACGCUCAUGCACGAAAGCGUGGGGAGCGAACAGG